UCAUCCUCUGAAGACCAUGAAUAUUUAUAUAGCAUCUCAUGGCAAUCCAUCAGAGAGUUGUUGACACAUUUCAGUCUGUACCAAAGUGGUGGACCGACCAACCAACCAACAGACCAGAAUUGCCAUCUCUAGAGCCACAUGCCACUAGCAUGGCUAAAAAUCCAGUUCCUAUAGAUGCGUACAGAAUGAGGUUCAUUACCAGUUAUUUUCUGUCCAGUUGAAGCAGCUCUAAUGUGCUGGUAAUUGUCCUUUCCUCUUUUAUUUCAGAGUACAAUAUUUGCCCUGAAGAUGCCAGGUGAAAGCACUAAUGCUGCAGUUCAAUGUUCAGGUGAAG